rnacentral:rRNA from 1 species
UACGUAGGUGGCAAGCGUUAUCCGGAAUUAUUGGGCGUAAAGAGCGCGCAGGUGGUUGAUUAAGUCUGAUGUGAAAGCCCACGGCUUAACCGCGGAGGGUCAUUGGAAACUGGUCGACUUGAGUGCAGAAGAGGGAAGUGGAAUUCCAUGUGUAGCGGUGAAAUGCGUAGAGAUAUGGAGGAACACCAGUGGCGAAGGCGGCUUCCUGGUCUGUAACUGACACUGAGGCGCGAAAGCGUGGGGAGCAAACAGGAUUAGAUA